UACGUAGGGUGCAAGCGUUGUCCAGAAUCAUUGGGCGUAAAGCGCGCGUAGGUGGCUUCGUAAGUCCGUUGUGAAAGUCAAAGGCUCAACCUUUGAAUGCCGAUGGAUACUGCGAAGCUAGAGUACGGAAGAGGCGAGUGGAAUUCCUGGUGUAGCGGUGGAAUGCGCAGAUAUCAGGAGGAACACCAAUAGCGAAGGCAGCUCGCUGGGACGUUACUGACACUAAGGCGCGAAAGCGUGGGGAUCAAACAGG
rnacentral:rRNA from 1 species